rnacentral:lncRNA from 1 species
UAAGAAGGAGUGUGUGAUGUCAAGCAAAAAAGACAACAUUAGACACAGAUGCUGAGAUGGCGUUUAUCGCGGCAAAAAAAGGUGAAGUCGCCGCCCCAGCCAGGAGCUUCUGGAGGUGGUGGGCAGGAGGCGGGCGGCGUCUCUGGUCGCAGAGGAUGGAAGGAAUCAGUUAGAGGGGGUUGAAUGGAGGCACUGGAGGCAUGGCCACAUCUCCCAAAUCGACCCGGGAUGUGGGCCAUGCCUCCAGUCUCCCCACGUCCCCUGGCUCAAACCCAGUACAAAAGUGACUAUUUACAAUGAAGGCGUGGGGAGUGUGUGGGGGGACACACAGUUUUCCGUGGGAUGAACACAGAAAGGGUUAAUCAAAAAGAGUUCGAUGAGCGAGUCUGACGGUCGAGUGGGGCGGGCUGGAGCAAUGAGGCCGCAGGUCCCGGUGGCCGGUGGUGAUGGAGUCACUUAGAAGAUGAGAGGUUGGUGGUUUUGGAGACAAGUGUCCUGGACUGGUUGAGAAGGGAUUAAAAACCAGCAGCCUUCACCACCAU